UCCGUUGUAGUCUAGUUGGUUAGGAUAUACGGCUCUUACCCGAGAGACAAGGGUUCGAUUCCUACCAAUGGAA
rnacentral:tRNA from 1 species